rnacentral:tRNA from 1 species
GGCUUAUUAGCUCAGUUGUUAGAGCGUCGUGCUAAUAACGCGAAGGUCACAGGUUUGACACCUGUAUGGGCCA